rnacentral:piRNA from 1 species
UUUCUUAUUCAAAAAUUCAAA